AAGGAAUAUUGCUCAAUGGGAGAAAUCCUGAAGCAGCAACGCCGCGUGGAGGAUGAAGGGUCUAUGACUUGUAAACUCCUGUAAAGAAGGAAAAAAUUCCCAUUAGAUGGGAGAUGAUGGUACUUCUGGAGUAAGCCCCGGCUAACUACGUGCCAGCAGCCGCGGUAAUACGUAGGGGGCAAGUGUUGUCCGGAUUUACUGGGUGUAAAGGGUGCUCAGGCGGAUUUGUAAGUCAGAGGUGAAAUCUUACAGCUUAACUGUGAAACUGCCUUUGAUACUGCAAGCCUAGAGUAUGGAAGAGAGUGAUGGAAUAUCUGGUGUAGCAGUGAAAUGCGUAGAUAUCAGGUAGAACACCAAUGGCGAAGGCAGUCACUUGGUCCAUUACUGACGCUAAAGCACGAAAGCGUGGGUAGCAAACA
rnacentral:rRNA from 1 species